AGUGAACGCUGGCGGCGUGCCUAAUACAUGCAAGUCGAACGGAGUGGCGCACGGGUGAGUAAUGUAUAGCUAAUCUGCCCUACACUAGAGGACAACAGUUGGAAACGACUGCUAAUACUCUAUAGUGUAGGAUGAGGCUAUAUUGUAUCAGCUAGUUGGUGAGGUAAUGGCUCACCGAGGCUAUGACGAAUAACUGGUUUGUGGGGAUGAUCCGUCGCACUGGAACUGAGACACGGUCCAGACUCCUACGAGAGGCAGCAGUAGGGAAUUUUACUCAAUGGGGGAAGCUCUGAAGGAGCAUCGCGGCGUGGAGGAUGACACUUUUCGGAGAGUGAACUCCUUUUGUUAGGGUAGCGGUACCUAACGAAUAAGCACCGGCUAACUCCGUGCCAGCAGCCGCGGUAAUAC
rnacentral:rRNA from 1 species